CCUACGGGAGGCAGCAGUGGGGAAUAUUGCACAAUGGGCGAAAGCCUGAUCCAGCGACGCCGCGUGAGUGAAGAAGUAUUUCGGUAUGUAAAGCUCUAUCAGUAGGGAAGAACAUGACGGUAAGUGACUAAGCAUCCCCGGCUAACUACGUGCCAGCAGCCCCGGUAAUACGUAGGGGGCAAGCUUUAUCCGGAUUUACUGGGGGAAAAGGGAGCGUAGUCGGCAGCCUAAGUCUGGAGGGAAAUGCCGGGGCUGAACCGCGGAGCGUCUUUGGAAACUGUGCGGCUAGAGGGCAGGAGAGGUGAGUGGAAUUCCUAGUGUAGCGGUGAAAUGCGUAGAUAUGAGGAGGAACACCAGUGGCGAAGGCGGCUUACUGGACUGUAACUGACGUUGAGGCGCGAAAGCGUGGGGAGCAAACAGGAUUAGAUACCCGAGUAGUC
rnacentral:rRNA from 1 species